rnacentral:lncRNA from 1 species
AAUGGUAUUCAUAUUCUCCAUUUCUUUCAGACUUGGAGAUGAGCUCUGUGAUGCCUCCACAAAAGAGGGUCCUGAGGAGUCAGCUUCCCCAGUUGGGGGCGCUGUAAGGGCUAGCUUGGAGAUGCCAAACUGGGGAGACCCAGGCUCCAUGGUGUUGCCAUCCACCAGAGAACCUAGGAAAGCAGCAGAGGCAUUUGAUGUGUUUACUUGCCACUCCCAAGGGAGAUGCCUCUGGGUAGGGAGGUCUCGGGUGUCAUGAACCUAGGCGAAGCCUGAGGCAGGCAGUGGCCCUCCUUAGGAAGCACAUAGCACCUGGUGUAGAGAGAACCCAGAAUGGCAGGAGGCCAGGAAAGAGCUUGAGACACCAGAGAACCUUCAUGGAGAAGCCAUUCAACUGCCAGGAAUGUGGGGAAGUCUUCAUUUAUCCUUCAAACUUUGCUUUCCAUUAGCGAGUCCACACUGGAGAGAAGCCCCACAGAUGUGACCAGUGCAGGAAGUUCUACCCACAGGUCUCCUACCUUGCCCACCACCAGAAAACCCACACAAGGGAGAAGCCCUACAGAUGCAGUGAGUGUAGCAAGGCCUUCUGCCCCUCCUCCUCCCUGGCCCAGCACAAGCCGUCCAUACCGGGGAGAAGCCCUACAGAUGUAACAAGUUUGGGAAGACCUUUAACCAGAACUCUUCUCUCACCCACCACCAGAAAGAAGCCUCAGAAAUGUAAGGAGUGUGGGAAAAGCUUCAGUUACAGCUCAUCCCUCAUCCAACAUCGGAGAAUCCACACAGGCAAGAAGCCCUAUACCUGUAAGGAAUGUGGGAAGGCCUUCAGUCAGAGCAGCCACCUGACUCAGCCCCAAAGGACCCCCACUGGGGAGAAGCCCUAUGAGUGUAAAGUGUAUGGGAAGGAAUAUGCCCAGAUCUCUCUCACCUCACUGAACACCAGAUGACCCACACCAGGGAGAAGUGCUACAAGUGCGGACUGUGUGGGAGAGCUUUAAGCCACAGCACUCAUGUCACCCAGCACCAGAAGACCCACACGGGCAGGAAGCCUCAUAAGUGUAAGGAGUGUAGGAAAAGCUUCAGUCACAACACAUCCCUCAUCCAACAUGAGAGAAUCCACACUGGCAAGAAGCCCUGUGCCUGUAAGGAAUGAGGAAGGCCUUCCGUCAGAGCAGCCACCUGACUCAGCACCCACAGCGGGGAGAAGCGCUUCAAAUGUGAGGACUGUGGGAAGGCCUACACCCAGAUCUCAAACCUUCUCCGACAUCAGAAUCACACUGGCAACAAAUGCUCAUCUUCAAGGCCAGUUCCAGAGAGGAACACUAACCCCAUAUAUUGACAUCAUUCUUAGAAGGAGGAUGUCACGUGUUAUCACUAGCCAAGAGAGCUUCUCAUUGUUUGGGGGGUCUCCCAGGAACAGGUCUCUCUGAGCUUUUUAAAUUGAUUUUUCUUCCCUUAAAUUGGAUCCCAAAAAGUCAAGAAAAAGAGAAGAAAGUUAUGAAAAUUGACGCUUGAGAGUAAAAGUCUCAAAUAUACGUAGCUAAACAAAUGCUAGGCAAUUUUUUAAAACUUUAAACAACAAAUUUCACAGUGUAAAGUUGGUUUAAAUAGUGAAUAUCUUUCACACACUCACAGCUACUUUUAGUGUCCUAUUAUUUGUGCCUAUUAUAUUUCUGGGAUUUAUGCUUUAAAAAGCUGUUAUCCCACUAAACAUCAUGUUUAUUCAGGUCUAAAGGAGACUUUUUACAUAUUUUAAACAUAUAAUUAUUUUAUAUUAAAAAUAAUGCUUAUACUUUUAUAAUAGGAACAAUUUUGGUAGGAAAUAAUACACUUUCAUUAUAAAGGAUAUUUGUGAAGUACGGAGAAGUAUGAAAUAAAACACCAAUUCCCUGUAAAACCAUAGCUCAGAGAGAUUCAGUAGUCAUUCUUGGGUUUUUCUUUCUGGAUUAUUUUUGGUCUGUAUUCUAUAUGCAUAUGUUUAAACUGUCAGAAAUUUUGAAUUUCACAAUUCAGCUGCCCUCAGAAGCCAUAUUUUUUCAUACUUUCUUCCAAAUCUUUUAAACAAAUGUAAUUUUAUUUCAUUGGAGUCCCAGUGUAGAGUCAAUCUGCCCUCAUCAUACCAUGAGCAGUUUCCUGUCGCCUAUGCAUCACACUCAUUGUUAAUGCUAAUGGUUGGUCACUGAGAACAGUUCACAGAUCCAUUCCCAAUUAGCUCUUUCUCCUAAGUUCCUGACCGACACAGGUUCACCAGCUUUUCCAAUUGUGAAUAAUGUUGCAAUGAGCGGUUCCAAGCUCACCUCCUCCAGCUUCUUUGGGGGAGAAUUUCUUGUAGGCAGAUUCCCAGGGUGGCAAUGAUGGGCACCAAGGCUCCAAGCAUUUUGAUUCCUCAAAUGUGCUGCCAAACUGCCUUCCAAAGGGGCAGUUGGAGUCAAUGCAGUUCACACAAGCUGGAUGUGAGGACCACAACUGCAUUUCUAUGGCAACAAAUGUCAAUCAAUGUGUC